UACGUAGGUGGCAAGCGUUGUCCGGAUUUAUUGGGCGUAAAGCGAGCGCAGGCGGAAAGAUAAGUCUGAUGUGAAAGCCCCCGGCUUAACCGAGGAAUUGCAUCGGAAACUGUGUUUCUUGAGUGCAGAAGAGGAGAGUGGAACUCCAUGUGUAGCGGUGGAAUGCGUAGAUAUCUGGAGGAACACCGGUGGCGAAGGCGGCCACCUGGACGACAACUGACGCUGAGGUGCGAAAGCGUGGGUAGCAAACAGG
rnacentral:rRNA from 1 species